UAUAUUUUAGUGUAAGAUGCACGUAAAUUUUUGAUAUUUAACGAUACAGUUUAAUUCUGUGAAAUAUAA
rnacentral:tRNA from 1 species